GGGGUAGGCACUGUUAUUUCCAUUCACAGAUAAGCAAAGUGAGGCUCGGAGGGCGGGGACUUGCCCAAAGCCACAAGGAUGAAAGGACUUUUCCAGUUGCUACCAGACUACGCACUGUCGCCUGAUGGUUAAGAACUGAAGCUUUAGCCGUGCGCGGUGGCUCACGCCUGUAAUCCCAGCACUUUAGGAGGCAGAGGCGUGUGGAUCACCUGAGGUCACGAGUUCGAGACCAGCUUGACCAACAAGCUGGCAUAUCCGAAUGGGCUGAGCUACCGGAUUAAGAGGGACACCCCAAAGCCCCCAUUGCUGGGUUAUUGCUCCAGAGCCAAUGUUCUUGGGGAAAGGAAGAUAUGCCCUUUGUCAACAUUGCCACUGCUGGUCUGUAAACUCCUAGACGGCCAGCUGGUGGUUCACAAACCAGGACUCCUUGCUCUGGCCCUACCCCUACCUACCAGAAUGACCGUGAACCCUUCCCCACUCACUCCUACAACCAGGUUUCCAUCUCCUCUCUCAGCUUAGGUUUCCCUAACUGUAAAAUAAAAGGGUUGGACUAGGUUAAGGACUUCCUGCUAUUUCUCUCUCCCACACUCUAAGGUUCCUUAGGAAUGCUUCAGAAAACAGCAGGGGUUGGGGCAAGGAUGCCGCUUGAGUCCCAGAGCAACUCCAAUUUCAUAGGCACAUAAAUUUAUGUGAAAGUA
rnacentral:lncRNA from 1 species